AUUGAACGCUGGCGGCAGGCCUAACACAUGCAAGUCGAGCGAGCGGCGGACGGGUGAGUAAUGUAUGGGGACUGCCCGAUAGAGGGGGAUAACUACUGGAAACGGUGGCUAAUACCGCAUACUAUCGGAUAACCCAUAUGGGAUGAGCUAGUAGGUGGGGUAAAGGCUCACCUAGGCGACGAUCUCUAGCUGGUCUUAGAGGAUGAUCAGCCAAACUGGGACGGAAACACGGCCCAGACUCCUACGGAGGCAGCAUUGGGGAAUAGUGCAAAAUGGGGGAAAGCCGGAUGCAGCCAGGCCGCGUAGAUGAAGAGGUCCUUAGGGUGGUAAAGUACUUUCAGCGGGGAGGCGUUACCCACAGAAGAAGCACCGGCUAACUCCGUGCCAGCCGCCGCGGUAAUAC
rnacentral:rRNA from 1 species